rnacentral:rRNA from 1 species
UACGGAGGGUGCAAGCGUUAUCCGGAUUUACUGGGUUUAAAGGGUGCGUAGGCGGCUCUUUAAGUCAGUGGUGAAAGCCUAGUGCUCAACACUAGAAAUGCCAUUGAAACUAAAGAGCUUGAAUCAAGGAGAGGUAAGCAGAAUUUAUAGUGUAGCAGUGAAAUGCUUAGAUACUAUAAGGAAUACCAACAGCGAAGGCAGCUUACUGGCCUUGUAUUGACGCUGAGGCACGAAAGCGUGGGGAGCAAACAGG